rnacentral:rRNA from 1 species
CCAAUAGCGUAUAUUAAAGUUGUUGCAGUUAAAAAGCUCGUAGUUGAACUUCGGGAUUUGCCCAUUGGUCAGGCUUAACUGUCUGCACUGGUGUGACGAGUUCCUACCUUCUGAGGAAUCUCCAUGUCAUUCAGUUGGUGUGGGGGGAAAUCAGGACUGUUACUUUGAAAAAAUUAGAGUGUUUAAAGCAGGCAUCCGUCUGAAUACAUUAGCAUGGAAUAAUAAAAUAGGACGGUUUGGUUCUAUUUUGUUGGUUUCUAGGAUCACCGUAAUGAUUAAUAGGGAUAGUUGGGGGCAUUAGUAUUCAAUUGGCAGAGGUGAAAUUCUUGGAUUUAUUGAAGACUAACUACUGCGAAAGCAUUUGCCAAGGAUGUUUUCAUUAAUCAAGAACGAAAGUUAGGGGAUCGAAGACGAUCAGAUACCGUCGUAGUCUUAACCAUAAACUAUGCCGACUAGGGAUCGGACGAAGUUAAUUUUUUAAUGACUCGUUCGGCACCUUACG